UGUUUGUAGAGACGAAGCCCCCUGGUGGUGGCUGCUGGUAAAUAUGUGGACAUGACGUCACAGCUCGGCCUGUUUGUUUUCCUUCGUGAUGAGAAGCUUCGUCUGGAUUUAGCUCCGUGAUUUAUUUCAAUUACUGAUGAAAAAAGACUUCUCGAGCAGGAGCUUCACGUCAGACCUCCACCAACCACAUGUUUGUUCUCUAACAGAAACUCUGUGAACCACACAGUCUUUCUGGUGGAUCAAGUUCAGCAGAAGACGAUUCAAAAGCUGCAAAAACAUUUAGGUAAGUAUUUAUUAAGAGACAGAGGAGAAAAGUCUAACACUGAAUUAUAUCUGGUGAGCUGCUUUUAAAAUGAUUUUAGUUGCUGUUAUGGCCAUGAA